rnacentral:rRNA from 1 species
GGGUCCUGCCGAGUGCGGACCUCGGGGCCACCUCCCACCCGUGUUGCCCGAACCUAUGUUGCCUCGGCGGGCCCCGCGCCCGCCGACGGCCCCCCUGAACGCUGUCUGAAGUUGCAGUCUGAGACCUAUAACGAAAUUAGUUAAAACUUUCAACAACGGAUCUCUUGGUUCCGGCAUCGAUGAAGAACGCAGCGAAAUGCGAUAACUAAUGUGAAUUGCAGAAUUCAGUGAAUCAUCGAGUCUUUGAACGCACAUUGCGCCCUCUGGUAUUCCGGAGGGCAUGCCUGUCCGAGCGUCAUUGCUGCCCUCAAGCCCGGCUUGUGUGUUGGGCCCCGUCCCCCCCGCCGGGGGGACGGGCCCGAAAGGCAGCGGCGGCACCGCGUCCGGUCCUCGAGCGUAUGGGGCUUCGUCACCCGCUCUAGUAGGCCCGGCCGGCGCCAGCCGACCCCCAACCUUUAAUUAUCUCAGGUUGACCUCGGAUCAGGUAGGGAUACCCGCUGAACUUAAGCAUAUCAAUAAGCGGAGGAA